rnacentral:rRNA from 1 species
UACGUAGGCAGCGAGCGUUGUUCGGAGUUACUGGGCGUAAAGAGUGCGUAGGCGGUUUUCUAAGUUUGGUGUGAAAUCUCCCGGCUUAACUGGGAGGGUGCGCCGAAGACUGGAAGGCUUGAGUAUGGGAGAGGUAAGCGGAAUUCCUGGUGUAGCGGUGAAAUGCGUAGAUAUCAGGAGGAACACCUGCGGUGUAGACGGCUUACUGGACCAUCACUGACGCUGAGGCACGAAAGCGCGGGUAGCAAACAGG